rnacentral:lncRNA from 1 species
CUCCGAUUGUCCUGGAACUCGUCUGCCAUAUUAACCGCUUCCUGCAGGGUGUGUGGCUUUCUGUCCCGAAUCCAGUUUUGCAGAUAGGCAGGGACGCCAUUGAAGAAUUGCUCCAGUACCAUUAGCUGGAACAGACCCUCCAAUGUAUCAACUUGGGCGGCCUCCAGCCACCCCUUUGCAGCUCGUUGCAGCUGGUGCGCCCAUUCCACAUGGGUGUCUUUAGUGGGUUUCUUAAUGUCCCGAAACUUCCUUCGGUACGCCUCUGAUGUGAUGGCAUACCGGGCUAGAAUGGCCCGUUUCACUUUAUUGUAGUUCCUACUAUCCUCGUCUGGUACUGCCCGGUACGCUUCAGCGGCUCGCCCAGAUAAUCUCCCUGCUAGUAGUGGUACUCGGUCUGCAUCGUUAAUCUCAUGCAGCAAACACAGUCUCUCAAAGUCCUGUAAAUAGUCGUCAACGCCACCGUCCGCCUCCACAUAGCUUUUAAAGGCUUGAUAUGGGAUUUUGGCUUUCCCUGGGAAAAUAUUGACUGGCGUUGCGGCUCUUUCUCCGGCUUGCUGGUUCCCAUGCGUUCUUCUGGCCAUGAUGUACUCCUGUACAUCACCGAAAAGCCUGUCAACCAUCUCUGCAGAUGGGGGUGUAGGAAAUAAAGCCAUUCGUGCUCGGAAUUCGGCUGUAAAUUCGUGGGUUUCCCCCUCCAUUUGAGGUGCUGCAGCAGCUGCGGCUCUGUCUCCUUCAAUGAGCUCUGUAAUUAGGACAGCCUUUGCCUUGUUACUGGCGAUUGCUCCUCUUGCUUCCAGCAGCUCCUUUAAUGUGCUCCGUUUUAGCAGGGCGUAAUUUGUUCCCAUUCACCGGCUGUUCGUGAGGAUUAUUCGAAUGAGCUAAUUCCCGAAUGGCUGCUCCUUGAUUUGCUUUAAAAUCUGCCGAACGUUGCUUUGCUGUGUUAAUUCGAAUCCCACCGCUGUCACCAAUUGUAGCGGAGAGGCAGUAUAAUCCACAAUAUCUCCGCUGGGUAACAGGAACAACAAAGGAUAAUCCAGGGAAUCAGCAUACAAUAAUCCAAACAGCACUGCAGUAACCCUUCCUUCCCAAGAACUAGACGACACAUAGGCUGGGAGUCAACUGAAGUCCCCUCCCAGGGGCAUUCCCAGAGGGGACUACAUGGGGGACUUACAGUACAGGGCAUUUAUCCCAUCAGGCACUGCUGCACGAGAGGGAUCCUCCCACUGGAAUAUACCGUUAAGUGGAUUAUCCCUGCUUGCAGCAAAACUCACAAUUCACCUUAAAUUCAAUAACUCUAUGAAUAUCUGGUUCACUUAAACAAAUGGACGUUCGGUAGAUAGCUGGGGUCUGAGCGCAUCAUUCGUGAGAUUACCGCUCAGAUCCCAGCUAAAACAACCGAACACCGCACGAAAAACACAUUCACUAACACAUAGCCUUAAAAUACUGUUUACAUAUAGUGAAACAAAAUACCGAAUGUCCCGGACCUCCCGAACGGUCUGGAGGCCCAGCGGUGUUCGCGCCGUCGAGUAGCCGUUUUUAGUUCCACGCGCUCGAUGACCAAACACCGCUGAGGGAACAAAGGAUCCAAGAUGGCCGCCCGCCGCAUGGUCGGUAGUCGAACGACGGCCACCCAGGAGAGCCUCUAAUUACCGAUUGCAACAUUGUUGCAAUCGGUUAAUAGGCGCCACACGCCUCUAAGUGUGUGGGCUAUUAAAUGAUAUGUUGUUAGGUUCCCGAACGGCCCGCAAAGGUGCCGUUCGUGAAACGAAAGGAAUCCGCUAUCUGCGUUCGGCAGAUAGCCCAGGCAGGCAAUACAUUAUUAACAUUGCAUUACAUUACACGCUAUAACACACAAUAGGAACCCCAUACCGGCAACCCUUAAAGGGACAGUACAAAAUAAUGUCCAAGUGGCUAGGUUUGCCACACAAGUUAUCCAAUCACAAGUUAUCUGCAGGGUUUUUGCAGCAAUCUCUUGCUAUAGGAUCCUCAUUAAUAUAUACUGAAGAAAAAUUGUUCUUUCAAAUGUCUGCCUUUUCCUGGUGUUGCUUAAUUAACAAACCCAUCUCUGUUUCGAGUGUACCUACACUUUCAUUUUUUUUUGUUGUUGUACUUGAAAAACCUUUUUGGGGUUGGUUUUGCAUUCUUUGGCUAUCAAUUUCUCAUUUUCUAGUUUAGCCACUUUAAUUGCCUUUUUGCAAGCGUUAUUGGCUUCCUUAUAUCUUAUAUAAGACGCAUCUGAUUUGUCCGAUUUAAAUGCUUUAAAUGCCCUUUUCUUAUUUUUAAUCUCUUGUUUUACUUCUCUACUAAGCCACAUUGGUUUUAAUUUGUUUCUUUUAUAUUUAUUACCCAAUGGUACAUACUGAGAAAUGUACCUUUCUAAUUUUUGUUUGAAUAGUUUCCAUUUAUCCUCAGUGUUUUUAUCACUAAGGAGUUUGCCAGUCGAUAUGUUGUAGAGCUGCCCUAAUCUUAUUGAAAUUGGC